CCUGCAGCAGGUUCGAGCCGAACGUAGUGAGGCACCGGAGCCGUUUACGGCGACGGCCCGAAGGGCGAGCGAAGCGAGUCAUCCUGCACGACCCACCA
rnacentral:sRNA from 1 species